rnacentral:rRNA from 1 species
UUUAGUGGCGGACGGGUGAGUAACGCGUGAGUAACCUGCCUUCAAGAGGGGGAUAACAUUCUGAAAAGAAUGCUAAUACCGCAUGAUAUAUCGGAACCACAUGGUUCUGAUAUCAAAGAUUUUAUCGCUUGAAGAUGGACUCGCGUCCGAUUAGUUAGUUGGUGAGGUAACGGCUCACCAAGACCGCGAUCGGUAGCCGGACUGAGAGGUUGAACGGCCACAUUGGGACUGAGACACGGCCCAGACUCCUACGGGAGGCAGCAGUGGGGGAUAUUGCGCAAUGGGGGCAACCCUGACGCAGCAACGCCGCGUGAAGGAUGAAGGUUUUCGGAUUGUAAACUUCUUUUAUUAAGGACGAAAAUUGACGGUACUUAAUGAAUAAGCUCCGGCUAACUACGUGCCAGCAGCCGCGGUAAUACGUAGGGAGCAAGCGUUGUCCGGAUUUACCGGGUGUAAAGGGUGCGUAGGCGGCUUUGCAAGUCAGAUGUGAAAUCUAUGGGCUCAACCCAUAAACUGCAUUUGAAACUGUAGAGCUUGAGUGAAGUAGAGGCAGGCGGAAUUCCCCGUGUAGCGGUGAAAUGCGUAGAGAUGGGGAGGAACACCAGUGGCGAAGGCGGCCUGCUGGGCUUUAACUGACGCUGAGGCACGAAAGCGUGGGUAGCAAACAGGAUUAGAUACCCUGGUAGUCCACGCUGUAAACGAUGAUUACUAGGUGU